CUAAUACAUGCAAGUCGAACGCUUUGUGGUUCAACUGAUUUGAAGAGCUUGCUCAGAUAUGACGAUGGACAUUGCAAAGAGUGGCGAACGGGUGAGUAACACGUGGGAAACCUACCUCUUAGCAGGGGAUAACAUUUGGAAACAGAUGCUAAUACCGUAUAACAAUGACAACCGCAUGGUUGUUAUUUAAAAGAUGGUUCUGCUAUCACUAAGAGAUGGUCCCGCGGUGCAUUAGCUAGUUGGUAAGGUAAUGGCUUACCAAGGCGAUGAUGCAUAGCCGAGUUGAGAGACUGAUCGGCCACAAUGGGACUGAGACACGGCCCAUACUCCUACGGGAGGCAGCAGUAGGGAAUCUUCCACAAUGGGCGAAAGCCUGAUGGAGCAACGCCGCGUGUGUGAUGAAGGGUUUCGGCUCGUAAAACACUGUUGUAAGAGAAGAAUGACAUUGAGAGUAACUGUUCAAUGUGUGACGGUAUCUUACCAGAAAGGAACGGCUAAAUACGUGCCAGCAGCCGCGGUAAUACGUAUGUUCCAAGCGUUAUCCGGAUUUAUUGGGCGUAAAGCGAGCGCAGACGGUUAUUUAAGUCUGAAGUGAAAGCCCUCAGCUCAACUGAGGAAUUGCUUUGGAAACUGGAUGACUUGAGUGCAGUAGAGGAAAGUGGAACUCCAUGUGUAGCGGUGAAAUGCGUAGAUAUAUGGAAGAACACCAGUGGCGAAGGCGGCUUUCUGGACUGUAACUGACGUUGAGGCUCGAAAGUGUGGGUAGCAAACAGGAUUAGAUACCCUGGUAGUCCACACCGUAAACGAUGAGUGCUAGGUGUUUGAGGGUUUCCGCCCUUAAGUGCCGCAGCUAACGCAUUAAGCACUCCG
rnacentral:rRNA from 1 species